AAUACGGCAAAGCAGUCGAAAGGCUGUGACGCAAAGCUAAAGGGGCUUCGGUUCAUAACCAAGCCAGCCAGUUGC
rnacentral:ncRNA from 1 species